UUUUUGGUGUAAAGAGAGAAGGAAGAAAAACCUGCUCAAAGAGAGAAGCAGGAAACACUUCUGGCAGCGGGAAUUUCCUGCGAGCGGAUCGAAAGGACGACCGCGGUGUUCGCCGGCCCAGACCGCACCACAGGAAGUGUGUGUGCGACUCCAGAAGCAGAGGUCAAGGCCAGGGGUCACGGGUGGCACUGCAGAGAUUUACACCAGGAGAGAUCCGAGCCCGUUCCCAGCCUUCGUCUAUUUCCCGGGGAAAUUAGCCAUAAAGUCGCCGUUUUCAUCUUUCAAGCUUCUGUUUGUGCAUGUGUGUGUGUGUGUGUGUGAGUGUGUUUAGAGCCGCAGGGGUGGUGAGGAGGAUGUUGUCGCUGACUUUUGAAGCGUCUGACAGGGCGAGCGAGAGAAGGGGUGAAACUGAUCCCGACACUGACAGCUGAGACCUCCGAGGUCAUAGGUCACGACCCUGGUAACGCAAAGGAAGUGACAUCAUUUUGGUGGCAAAACAACAGCACAAACAUUACCAGCAUUAGAAAUGGAUUUGAUGAACUGUGAUGUUUUGAUUCCGACUUUAAGAACCACUAACUUCAGCUCACUGUAAGUGAGAGUCGGUCACACACAGCUUGUCAGGUCCUCCCCGGGCCGCCCGUACCUGUCAAGGUCAGUGAAUCAUGCUGUUGGACUCCAUGAUGUGAGAGGAUGAAGGUGUCGUCUUCCUCCCUGCCAUGUAAUCGUUCCCCGCUCUCUAAUGUUCACAGGCGCCGCACGACUCCUUCAUGCUGAGGAGAGACGCUUCGCUCGCCGGACCAACCAAACUCUCAUCUGCUCUGUGCUAAUUAACUGAAUGCCCAAACUCACAGCGAGACCAGAGCUCCUGACUUACCAAU